AUGGGAAUUUCUGUUGUCUCUGACAUUUCAUAUGACUCUGUCCUUGAAACCUGGUAUCUGUUCUCAUCAUUCUUAGAAGUUACCCUUUAUCUUUGUGCAUGUGAUAUCCCUUCUAGGCCUACACCCAAAAGUCAUCAAGGAAAGAGGGAAAUGGCUCAUUUGUACAAAAAUAUCUGUAGCAACCUUUUUAUAGUGACCAAGAACUGGAAACAAAGAGAGUAACCAUCCUUUGGGGAAUUGCUGGACAUAUUACGACCAACAGUUUCAACUGAUUAUUGCCAUGGAUUCCAAGACUAUUCUGUCAGGCUCUGAUCUUUGCUCCACUCCCACCCCCUUCCUUCUUGUACACUGCUGCCAAAUUAAUGUCCCCCAGCAUCAUUUGAAUCAUGUUUCGCCAUGUCUCUCCCUGCUGAAAAUAUACCAAUGGCUGCCCCACUGGCCACAGGACAAAGUUUGAAAGGAAUAAGAAAAUUUGCCAGACAGACCUUCUGCCCAUUAGAUAAAGUCUAGACUUCUUCAAUCAAGGGCCUGUGUAAUCUACUUCCAAGUACCCUUUCCAUUUGUAUCUCCCAUCCUCUCUCCUAUUUUCACAUAUUCCGUUUUUGUUGUUAUUGUUCUAUUGUGUCCAACUCUUCAUUAUCCCAUUUGGGAUUUUCUUGACAAAGAUACUAGAAUGGUUUGCCAUUUACUUCUCCAGCUCACUUUACAGAUGAGGAAACUGAGGCAAACUGGGUAAAUAAGUUGCCUAGUAUCAUAUGCUAUUAAUUAUCUGAGGCCAGAU
rnacentral:lncRNA from 1 species